GCUGUCAUUGAACCAGAAGCAAAACAAGUUACAAGGACUGACUCUGUCUACAAUUGGUGUCAGCACUGGCUACACGUCUUUCACAUUAUAUAUGGCCUGGCCACGAGUCAUCACACCUGACGUGAGAGGUGAGAGAGAUGCAUUUAGAUGCAUGGACAAUGAGAAUGCCCCGCUGAGCAAAUGUCCAUACUACCAGGAAGUAAGAGACCAUGCUCCCCUCACCCCACAAGCAGGCCCCCUUCCCUGAAAGUCAACAAUAAACCACGUUUCCAGUAAGCCGGAUAGCUCCCCAAGUCUAGCCCAUCUCCAUGGUGACCACUACCAGAGCUGACAAUGCUGUGUCUUUUAGCCUAACUAGACCACCCAUGCGGAAAUACUUCUGAUAUAACAAUAUGUAUCAGAUUAUUAAAGCUCCGUAAUGCUGCUAUCACAUCUGUAGUCUGGAGUAAAAUAAAAAAUCCUCAACAAUAAGCUGCAUGUAUAGAUAUUUGUGGACAUACGCACAGUAUUUCAAACAUGUAAUAAAACGUUUCAGUCAA